rnacentral:rRNA from 1 species
UACGUAGGGGGCAAGCGUUGUCCGGAUUUAUCGGGCGUAAAGAGCGUGUAGGCGGUUAGGUAGGUCCGUUGUGAAAACUCGAGGCUCAACCUCGAGACGCCGAUGGAAACCAUCUGACUAGAGUCCGGAAGAGGAGAGUGGAAUUCCUGGUGUAGCGGUGAAAUGCGCAGAUAUCAGGAAGAACACCCGUGGCUAAGGCGGCUCUCUAGUACGUGACUGACGCUGAGACGCGAAAGCGUGGGGAGCGAACAGG